CCGGUUUCCAAUUAGCAGGAGUUGCAAUCUUGUGCGCGGAUGCCUUGCGCAAGGACUCCAACACCCUCACCACUUCGUCCAUGUUACGCCCAGUGCUUGCCGGGUACAGAAAGCUCAACUUAAUCUACACAUGAUGAUAUGCAUAAAACCGCCAGCGGGCAAUAUUAGUACGUGCUAUAUGUUUAUUUCCAGAGUUGAGACCUUACAUAUACAUAUACAAUGCAUAUACAUAUAAGAAUCAAUUACAGCUCACUGGCUAGUUGCUUUAACAAUUAAGAUACUAUAUAUGACUUGUGUACGCACGUACCUUCUUGUCAGGGCCUACAAUAUGCAGAGCACGGGAUGGGAGGUGGUAGCCGGACGAGUCUUUCUCAUCAGGGUCGACCAUGUUGAGUUGCUUGAUGAUCUCCUUGUUCGGAUCAGCAACAAUAGGAUAUGUGACCUUGUGACCAUUCUGAGCAAAUUAAGCACAUUGUGUAUAGUAUAGUAGUGUAAACUACAAAAGUAGAUACUCCACAAUAGCAGGUAAGGCGCUAGUAAGUAAAGUAGAUACUCUACUCCACAACGGCUAGCUAGAAUGGGCAGGCCGGGAGGGGUGAUUUUAUAAUUUUUGUAUUAUGAACGAGAAGAAUUAAAUCAAGAUAGGUUGCUACGUACGUU
rnacentral:lncRNA from 1 species